rnacentral:rRNA from 1 species
UGGGGAAUAUUGGACAAUGGGGGGAACCCUGAUCCAGCUAUGCCGCGUGUGUGAAGAAGGCCUUAUGGUUGUAAAGCACUUUAAGCGAGGAGGAGGGUACUGGUAUUAAUACUACCAGGUACUGGACGUUACUCGCAGAAUAAGCACCGGCUAACUCUGUGCCAGCAGCCGCGGUAAUACAGAGGGUGCGAGCGUUAAUCGGAUUUACUGGGCGUAAAGCGUGCGUAGGCGGCUAAUUGAGUCGGAUGUGAAAUCCCCGAGCUUAACUUGGGAAUUGCAUUCGAUACUGGUUAGCUAGAGUGUGGGAGAGGAUGGUAGAAUUCCAGGUGUAGCGGUGAAAUGCGUAGAGAUCUGGAGGAAUACCGAUGGCGAAGGCAGCCAUCUGGCCUAACACUGACGCUGAGGUACGAAAGCAUGGGGAGCAAACAGG